GUAGUAGGUGGAGAUAGAUAAAUAAUCAAACUUAAACUUAACGAAAAACAAACAGUAUUAUUCCGGUAGUCCAGGGUAAAUUGACUGAAAAGUUACACGCGAUUACCAGAUUUCAAGAGCAGACUACCUUACACAUCAAGGAUACUAGUGGAGGCUUGUGCUACAUGAAUGGAGUACUGAAUGAACCAAACAAGAAAUAACGAAACCUUCAACUUCUGCAAUGGCAAUGUGGUUGUCCAACGCUUAACUCCGUUCUUUGCU